rnacentral:siRNA from 1 species
UGGUGUUUGUGGCAUGGUCA